UUAGAGUUUGAUUCCUGGCUCAGGAGGAACGCUGGCGGCAUGCCUAUUACAUGCAAGUUGAACGAUGACUUCAUCUGCUUGCAGAUGACUGAUUAGUAGCGAACGGGUGAGUAACACGUGGGAAAUCUACCCAUGAGUGGGGAAUAACAUUCGGAAACGGAUGCUAAUACCGCAUAAGUUCUUUGACCUCCUGGUCUUUGAAUAAAAGACGGCCUUUGUGCUGUCUCUCAUGGAUGAUCCCGCGGCGUAUUAGUUAGUUGGUGAGGUAAUGGCUCACCAAGACCAUGAUACGUAGCCGACCUGAGAGGGUGAUCGGCCACACUGGGACUGAGAACGGCCCAGACUCCUACGGGAGGCAGCAGUAGGGAAUCUUCCACAAUGGGCGCAAGCCUGAUGGAGCAAUGCCGCGUGAAUGAAGAAGGUCUUCGGAUCGUAAAGUUCUGUUAUUAGAGAAGAAUAAGUUGAGGGGUAACUAUCUCGACUUUGACGGUACCUAACCAGAAAGUCACGGCUAACUACGUGCCAGCAGCCGCGGUAAUACGUAGGUGACAAGCGUUGUCCGGAAUUAUUGGGCGUAAAGGGAGCGCAGGCGGUUGGAAUAGUCUGAUGUGAAAGCCCACGGCUUAACCGUGGAAGGUCAUUGGAAACUGUCCAGCUUGAAUACAGAAGAGGUAAGUGGAAUUCCAAGUGUAGCGGUGAAAUGCGUAGAUAUUUGGAGGAACACCAGUGGCGAAGGCGACUUACUGGUCUGUAAUUGACGCUGAGGCUCGAAAGCGUGGGUAGCAAACAGGAUUAGAUACCCUGGUAGUCCACGCCGUAAACGAUGAGUGCUAAGUGUUAGGGGGUUUCCGCCCCUUAGUGCUGGAGUUAACGCAU
rnacentral:rRNA from 1 species